UACGGGAGGCAGCAGUGGGGAAUUUUCCGCAAUGGGCGAAAGCCUGACGGAGCAACGCCGCGUGAGGGAUGAAGGCCUCUGGGCUGUAAACCUCUUUUAUCAAGGAAGAAGAUCUGACGGUACUUGAUGAAUAAGCCACGGCUAAUUCCGUGCCAGCAGCCGCGGUAAUACGGGAGUGGCAAGCGUUAUCCGGAAUUAUUGGGCGUAAAGCGUCCGCAGGCGGCCCAACAAGUCUGCUGUUAAAAAGUGGAGCUCAACUCCAUCAUGGCAGUGGAAACUGUUGGGCUAGAGUGUGGUAGGGGCAGAGGGGAUUCCCGGUGUAGCGGUGAAAUGCGUAGAUAUCGGGAAGAACACCAGUGGCGAAGGCGCUCUGCUGGGCCAUCACUGACGCUCAUGGACGAAAGCCAGGGGAGCGAAAGGGAUUAGAUACCCCUGUAGUCCUGGCCGUAAACGAUGAACACUAGGUGUCGGGGGAAUCGACCCCUCCGGUGUCGUAGCCAACGCGUUAAGUGUUCCGCCUGGGGAGUACGCACGCAAGUGUGAAACUCAAAGGAAUUGACGG
rnacentral:rRNA from 1 species